rnacentral:lncRNA from 1 species
UAACAUAAGCUAACAUCGCAAUUAAAAUAACACUACCAAAAAUGCUAGACAACAUUAAAGCAAAUGAAAAUGCUAAACCUAAGACUACACAAACAAUUAUCUAAACACAACUAAAGCUAUUAAAAUGCAACACUUGAUUAAAAAAUUGAAAAACCAUUAAACAUGUAAUGUAAAAGAUUUUAGGACAAAAGAAAUAAAAAAAAACAAAUUAAUAUAUGGAAUAUAAAGAUGCAUAUUGGGUCAAGCGUGUAGAAAGAAAAAAAAUAUAGAAACCUUUUUGGAGCAAACCGUGUAAGCCUUUUCCCUUGCUGGCCAU